AUACUUACCUGUUGGGAAGAUACUGUGAUCACGAAGGUGGCUCACUCAGGGCGAGGCUUAACCGUUGCAAUCUGAUUGUGCUAAUCCCUCCGAUUUCAAAAUGUGAGAAUUGUAGUUGCGUAAUUUCGGGUGAUGGAGGACUGCGUUUGUGCUCUACCCUG